rnacentral:rRNA from 1 species
CAAUUUGAAAAACAACAGUGCUGAAGAUGAGAGGUGAUAAAAGCAUUGAAAUAAAAUAUCACGUUUCCUAACUAAUCUGAGGAGAAGGAAUGCCAGCUAACUGAUUUAUGAUGUAAUUUGAUGUUCCAAUGAUAUCCACAGAUGCCCCUGUACCCUUAACAUUGUCCAUGCUGCUGCUUUUGCAUGUGAAAUUAACAAUGAUACAAAAUUCUGCGUAUUUUCCUUAUCAUUGUAAUGUAAAAGUUUUUUCCAACAGUGUCACUGCUGAGCCUUUAUAAUUCACAUUUUGAUGUCUACCCCACUUUCAAGAAUUACACGGUACAGAUGCUUUGUAAUGGCCCUUUCGACCAUUACGUACACUUGAAAAAAGUAUCAUUUAGAGUUGGAAGAUGUUACACUCAAAAACUGAGUAUUGGCAAAAGCAAAAACAAUUCUAUACAUAUAUACCUAAGAAUUUACUGUUUGUUCAAGUGCUGUUUUACUUCCCUAGUCCUGCUGGUCACACUAUUUCUGAUACAGGCUUGAAUGUCACCGGCCUCCUUGUGCCUGCCUCGGCACAAGCUGGCUCAUGUUCAGCCAGCUGUCAAUCAGCACCUCAAGGUCCUUUUCUGCCAAGCAGGUUUCCUGCCACUCUUCUCCAAGCCACAUGAUUUGAAAACCAUUUUACCAUAAAGUUAUCAACAAAAAUUUAAAUAUUCCCACUAAAAUGGACACUAGUCACAGUCUAAUUGGCAAAGGUACAAAGGGGCUGAGAAUAUAACACAGUUGGCUGCAUCCUGCUGGUGGAAGCAGCACAGAAGCAGGCGAUGCAGUUAAGAGGACUGUCUAAUUACAAAGGUUAGAUUAUUUAUUGUAUAUCUAGUAGCUAAAGAGUAAAUGGGCAUCAAAAUACUAUUAGAAUAUAACAGAGCAACAUGUCAAACUAGGCAGCCACAAAAUACAAGAAAUGGUAAAGAAAUUAAGGAACGGUAAGAAUAGGAGUAAUAAAAAUAGGUCUGUCUCUUAUCCACUUCAUUGUAACUACAACAGGCAUUUCCUCCUACCCGCCGACUAACAGCUAUUAUGGUAUCUUCUUACCAGAAAAUCUGAGCAGUUUAGCAUCAGUAUAAUAAUAACUUGCGACAUAAUGGGAUUUUUUUUUUUUUUAAGAACUAUACCUAUUUAUUACUUCACAUUUGUGAAUUUACUUUUCUUUCCUGUGGUACAGGAAUUAUUUUUUCAGAAAGGGUAAAACCAGCAUUCAGAAAGUCCCAUAUACACCAGUCUUUAGCUCUCCUUAUAAUUUUAAAAAUCUAGGUUUAGUUUAUAUUACAUAAGAUUUUGGAAAAAAAUUGACACUGUCUUCUACAGUGACUUAAGCUGAAGAAAAGAACAAGGAAAAACAGAACAAACUAAUACAUUCCUGGAAUGUAUUUGCCAUUUGCUGCAAAUUGCUGAAUAAAGGAUUUACUGAACCAGAAUCAUAUCCAUAUUUUCAUAUUAAAUAAUCUUCGGUAAACCUUUCUUCUAUUAAUUUCUCUAAUCAUUAUAUUGCCCUAGGUAUACUGUUGGUAUCCAGGGCACCUAUAAUAAUGACAUCCAGAAUGUAUUCAAAUAUUGUUUUUCCUUUUUCUUAGUUCUAGAACUUGCAUGCUGUAAGUUUCAUUAGAUGCUUCAGAAAUAAUGAAAAAUGGGUCCCUAUUCACCUUCUAUUUGAGGUUUGAAAUUUUUUAAUGUUUUCAUCAUAAUAGUCUUGAUAUCUUUUCAAGCAGAAGAAUCUCAGUUUAUUUAAUGCAUCCAUUUGCAGAAUGAAUUAGAUUAAACUUUUUACUUGCAGUCAUACUUGUUCUUCUUCUACAUUCAUGAUUUUUAGUUCUUUUAUGACCUUGUGGUUUUACACAGUGGUAUAGUAGCCAAAUGNCGCGAUGUGAUUUCUGCCCAGUGCUCUGAAUGUCAAAGUGAAGAAAUUCAAUGAAGCGCGGGUAAACGGCGGGAGUAACUAUGACUCUCUUAAGGUAGCCAAAUGCCUCGUCAUCUAAUUAGUGACGCGCAUGAAUGGAUGAACGAGAUUCCCACUGUCCCUACCUACUAUCCAGCGAAACCACAGCCAAGGGAACGGGCUUGGCGGAAUCAGCGGGGAAAGAAGACCCUGUUGAGCUUUACUCUAGUCUGGUGCUGUGAAGAGACAUGAGAGGUGUAGAAUAAGUGGGAGGCCGGGCGCGCUCGGCGGUGCGGGGCGACCCACCCGCUGGCAUCCCAGCCAUCAGUGAAAUACCACUACUCUGAUCGUUUUUUCACUUACCCGGUGAGGCGGGGGGGCGAGCCCUGAGGGGGCCUCUCACUUCUGGCACCAAGCACCCGGCGCGCGCCAGGCGCGACCCUCUCUGGGAACAGCAGCAGGUGGGGAGUUUGACUGGGGGGGUACACCUGUCAAAGUGUAACGCAGGUGUCCUAAGGUGAGCUCAGGGAGGAUGGAAACCUCCCAUGGAGCAGAAGGGCAAAAGCUCGCUUGAUCUUGAUUUUUCAGUACGAAUACAGAUCGUGAAAGCAGGGCUUCAAAGUCCUUCUGGCUUUUUGCAUUUUAAGCAGGAGGUGUCAGAAAAGUUACCACAGGGAUAACUGGCUUGUGGCGGCCACGCGUUUAUAGCGACGUCACUUUUGAUCCUUCGAUGUCGGCUCUUCCUAUCAUUGUGAAGCAGAAUUCACCAGGCGUUGGAUUGUUCACCCGUUAAUAGGGAUCGUGAGCUGGGAUUAGACCAUCGUGAGACAGGUUAGUUUUACCCUACUGAUGAUGAGCUGUUGCAAUAGUAAUCCUGCUCAGUAUGAGAGGAACCGCAGGUUCAGACCCUUGGUGCGUGCGCUUGGCUGAGGAGCCACUGGCGCGAGGCUACCAUCUGCGGGCUUAUGACUGGUCGCUUCUAAGUCAGUUUUACCCUACUGUUGUGUUGCAAUAGCAAUCCUGCUCAGUAUGAGAGGAACCACAGGUUCAGACCCUUGGUGUGUGCGCUUGGCUGAGGAGCCACUGGCGCGAGGCUACCAUUCGCGGGCUUAUGACUGAA